CCUACGGGAGGCAGCAGUGAGGAAUAUUGGUCAAUGGGCGCGCGCCUGAACCAGCCAAGUAGCGUGAAGGAUGAAUGCCCUACGGGUUGUAAACCUCUUUUAUAAGGGAAUAAAGUGAGGCACGUGUGCCUCUUUGUAUGUACUUUAUGAAUAAGGAUCGGCUAACUCCGUGCCAGCAGCCGCGGUAAUACGGAGGAUCCGAGCGUUAUCCGGAUUUAUUGGGUUUAAAGGGAGCGUAGAUGGGUUGUUAAGUCAGUGGUGAAAGUUUGCGGCUCAACCGUAAAAUUGCAAUUUAUACUGGCAGUCUUGAGUACAGUUGAGGUAGGCGGAAUUCGUGGUGUAGCGGUGAAAUGCUUAGAGAUCACGAAGAACUCCGAUUGCGAAGGCAGCUUACUAAACUGCCACUGACAUUGAUGCUCGAAAGUGUGGGUAUCAAACAGGAUUAGAUACCCUAGUAGUC
rnacentral:rRNA from 1 species